GGGGCAUGGGCCGGCUGGUGUCUAUGGGGCGGCCUCGCAUGUAGUGUUUCCCGGUCUCGAUGAUCUCCACUUCAACGAGCUUCCCGAGGUAGUCGUCCUUCUGCGGCACCAACACCUGUGAGGAUAAACUAAACUAAAACAAUGAUCUCUCCUCUACCUCCUUCUCCUCCUCCUCCUUCUGACCUCCUUGGUGGGUAUUCUCUGCAUCCUGGCCGCUGGGGUGCCGGGCCGCGGGUAGAACUGGUUGAUGAACAGGGACGGGAACUUGUACUUGCGGCAGAGGUCCAGCGUCCCCUCAAAGUCCUCCUCGGUCUCGGUGGGGAAGCCGCAGAUGAUGUCCGUGGCGAUGGUUAUGCCCGGCACCCUGGAGGCAUGGACGGUGGUGGCGGAACAAGACCCCCAGACAUGCCCUUCACCUCUCCUUCAGGAAGUCCACGACAGUGCUGAAGUCUUUCACCGUGUACUCGCGCCUCAUCUCACCCAGCACCCCAUCGCUGCCGGACUGGACUGGCACGUGAAGGAAGGCGUAGACUCGAGGGUGC